AUGAACUAUAUUAUCAAAACCACCUGCCUGUGCAAAGCAAAAUGGUGUAGGACUGUCUUAACUUGCUUCCUAAGUAUGAGGCGUCAAUAUCUUGCAAUCUCCACAGAGCAAAAACAAUUAAGCUCUGGAACUAUAAUGGCUCGUGGUCUCAGGCAGACCUCGAGACAAACAUUUGCUAAAUCUGCAGAUAUAUUUCAGUUUAGUGAUGCAGAGCAUAGAGAUGGCAUACCUCUUUCAGUCAGUGGAGGCCUCCAUGAAGAAUUUUGGCAGUCUGCUCAUGGUAAGGCGUUUGAUAUGGAUCUCCUCCUCUAA
rnacentral:rRNA from 1 species